rnacentral:rRNA from 1 species
GACGAACGCUGGCGGCGUGCUUAACACAUGCAAGUCGAACGAUGAAGCCGGAGCUUGCUCCGGUGGAUUAGUGGCGAACGGGUGAGUAACACGUGAGCAAUCUGCCCUUGACUCUGGGAUAACUGCGGGAAACUGUAGCUAAUACCGGAUACGACACCUUGGGGCAUCCCAGGGUGUGGAAAGAAUUUCGGUCAAGGAUGAGCUCGCGGCCUAUCAGCUAGUUGGUGAGGUAAUGGCUCACCAAGGCGACGACGGGUAGCCGGCCUGAGAGGGUGGCCGGCCACACUGGAACUGAGACACGGUCCAGACUCCUACGGGAGGCAGCAGUGGGGAAUAGUGCACAAUGGGCGAAAGACUGAUGCAGCAACGCCGCGUGAGGGAUGAAGGCCUUCGGGUUGUAAACCUCUUUUAGCAGGGAAGAAGCGAAAGUGACGGUACCUGCAGAAAAAGCACCGGCUAACUACGUGCCAGCAGCCGCAGUAA